GCAAGUCGAGGGGUAACAUUGGUGCUUGCAUCAGAUGACGACCGGCGCACGGGUGAGUAACGCGUAUACAAUCUACCUUAUACUAGGGGAUAGCCUUUAGAAAUGAAGAUUAAUACCCUAUGGUACCAUAUAGUAGCAUUAUUAAAUGGUUAAAGGUUACGGUAUAAGAUGAGUAUGCGUCCUAUUAGUUUGUUGGUAAGGUAACGGCUUACCAAGACUACGAUAGGUAGGGGCCCUGAGAGGGGGAUC
rnacentral:rRNA from 1 species